CUGACUGGUUAGUAGUCAGCAACGAUGCUGGCACCUUAGUUAUGCCGGUGAACUGUUCGGUUAUAAAUAAGGAAAGUGUAUAGCCAGUUGUCGUGGUAACCGUUCUUCGCAUGGAGUCUGGGAUUGUUCAGAGGACUCGAUAAGUGGGGUGGCCGCUCCUACGACGGGGAUUCGCGAGUUAGGCUUGGCUUGAACUGAUGCAGAGCCAGUAAGACAGAUAUUUUUCUUCAAAUGUUACCCUAAGUUAGCGUGAAGAUUAGCGUGAAGUCGACCGGUCAACCACGAUAUCAGGACAGAAAGAAAAUUCGCAGCAUCUGUAGCGUUACAUUCGAGCAUACAGCCGCUACAGCAUCAACCGAAAUGAGAUGUGCCCUGACGCAAACAGGCCUACAUUACCGUCCUAUACUAUUGGUAAUAAGAGAUGCUGUUGCAAACAUACUGCAUACGCACACGUCAUAGGUGGUCAGAAGCUCCGGAAACAUAUAAUUUGUACUAGUCAUUUACUAACUGACCAAUAUAUGCGCAUACAGGUAAUUUUAUGAUAGAGGAGGAAUAACAUCUUCACCUAAGGGAUUACUUCCUGUAUUGCUACGCAGUACGUCUCUGGAUUGUUCAGUGCAGGUACUGAAACAAAAAACUGAAUAAAGGCAAUUUUCGCCCCUUACUCCGACCUUCAGGGCCGAUCGUAAUCAUCCUGGUAGCAGGCGUAAAACAGAAAUAAGAUCACUGUUGGGCACAUUUCGGAUGACGAACGUCACUGGUGCUUGGCGGCAGGGUGCAUGGCCUGUGGAGAGCUUUAUUGGCGAAACAGAACUUCUGACGUGAUUCCUGCUGGCCAAUAAGGCGCACCCCUAUAUCUGAAACUUGCUUGCCCCAACUCAACGCACUCAAGACACUGCACUCAGCUACACCAAGAUUAAUUGCGCCUAUCGCUAACGAUUAAUACCCAAUUGAGAUCGGGCCCCUGCGUCGGGGCUUGUCAUGUCGCUUCUUUACACAACCUAUAAUAUUUUCAUAAACAA